GGUGCAUUAGUAUAAUGGCAAUUAUCUUUGACUGUCUAUCUCAGGAUACGGGUUCAAUUCCCGUAUGCACCGCCA
rnacentral:tRNA from 1 species